GGGAUUAUUAAUAUAGACGCUGUCGCUUUCAUAAAAUAAUACCAAAAAUAAUCAACAUCGGUUAGUUGCACCGUACAUCAAUGAUAUAAGCUAGUCACAAUAUUGUGUUCAUAAACAUUUAGCAAAAAACUACAUAUCACUAAUAUCCCUCAAUUGUAAUGUAAAAUUUUCUUGAAAUUCCUAACAAAAUGAUGGUUAAUCUGUAUGUCGUCAAAAAUCGGCUUCUAGUAAACUUCAAUAUCCAAAACCUGUAGAAGAAAUAAGAAAUUUCAGUUAGAAAACCAUAUAUGACAGUAUAGUCGGAAUGUUGUAACAGUAAGUAUGGGAAUUGACAAAAAGAACAGUAAAUUUAGUAUGUAUGGAAGUGCAUAAUUUAUCAUUGCCUUUUUGAAAACUUUGAAACCUUUAUUUCUUAGAGACAAAACUUGAAUCCUGUUCAAGAAACCAACCAAAUAUGGAAGUUGUUCUAAUCUAGUUUGAUGAUUCCUUGUUGUCGUUAAUUAACCAGAUCUUCUGGAAAUAGUUGCCACUUAUACUAUCAGGAUCUAGUGUAUGAUAAUCUUCCUAAAUGCUGCACUUAUUGCAAGCAUUAAGGACAUGACGAGAAGGUGUGUCGAGUUAUGAAAAAACACGCAGAAACAGAGGAGAUGAUAGAGGAAGUAACAGGGCAGCACCACAAAUAACAUCUGUUUGUGCUGAAGACAAUGAACUGAUCAAACUCUGAAGAUCAAAACAUGUAAAAUUGCAGAAGUAAUAGUACAAAAUUAAUUAGGAUCUCAACCAAAGCAUCUCAGUCCAAUCAUCUUAUAACUGUUCUGCUAACUUACUGUUUUACAUCUCCAUAUUAAAAUCACCAUAAAAGAAACUGAUAUGCCAGAGGAAGAUCCAUAACAGCAGAACUGCAUUUGCGAAGAUACGUGUAUAUCUCUUUUUUCUUGCUUAAAAUAGAAACAAUCAAAAGAAGACCGGGGCAACGCCAAGAUAUGCAGAAUGUCAUAUACGAUCGUAGUUAUUCUGUGGAUUAGUUAAGGUGUUGAAAUACCACUUGUUAAAAGUAUCUUAUAAAGGCAGAAUGUCAUAUACGAUCGGAGUUAUUCUGUGGAAUAGUUAAGGUGUUCAAAUACCACUUGUUAAAAGUAUCUUAUGCACAAGUUUGCUCAUUAUCUGUUGAGUUCCACAGGUAUUGAAAAACUACAAGGUGAUGCAAGGGUAGCUCUUCCAUCUUUAUCUUAGCACAAGCAACAUGACAAUGUAACUUGAAAUAUGUAAGAUAAUAAAAGAAUAAAUCUAAAAACAAUAAUGAUUUCAUCACCUCAAACUAUAACAGACAAGUUUUAACACAAAAACUGAUAUUUCCAGAUAGAAAAACUAGUACUGUAGGCAGAUUCAAGAAUUAAGGAAAAGAAUUAGUUUGCUCGUUAUCUGUUGAGAUCAGUACUAGUAGGAACAGAGAAACUCAACAGACAAGGAAUUGGUGCAGCAAAAGAAACUCAACAGAUUGUGCAAACUGAAGGAGUAAAACAAAUUGCCAAUGACAACAAUGAUAAUAUGCAGAAUCGAGCAAAUAAUGAAUCCACUGUAGGUGAUGCCACUUCCUUACCAGGACUAGUAUCUUCUUUACCAUCUGCUUCAGUUUUUUCAUUCAGAACUGAUCUAAAAUCUGCAAAAUCAAUGCAGCAAAAAUUAAAUAUGAAGUGGAUUUUGGCCUAAAGGCUAUGCUGGUUCAUCCACACAGAAAAGAACGGUUUUGUCAGAUAGAACUAAAACUAAAGUGGAUUUUGGUAAUACAAAUAUCUCCCUUCCUCCCUUUUUUAUCGAAGAACAGUGGUAGCUCUCUUUUACUAAGAACUAAAACUCUAUCA
rnacentral:lncRNA from 1 species